UACGAAGGGUGCAAGCGUUACUCGGAAUUACUGGGCGUAAAGCGUGCGUAGGCGGUUUGUUAAGUCUGUCGUGAAAGCCCCGGGCUCAACCUGGGAAUGGCGAUGGAAACUGGCGAGCUAGAGUACGGUAGAGGAGAGUGGAAUUCCCGGUGUAGCAGUGAAAUGCGUAGAGAUCGGGAGGAACAUCAGUUGCGAAGGCGGCGCUCUGGACCAGUACUGACGCUGAGGCACGAAAGCGUGGGGAGCAAACAGG
rnacentral:rRNA from 1 species